rnacentral:rRNA from 1 species
AGUUUUCUUUAUUGGGGUUGCGGACAUAUCAUAACGAAGAGGUAUCGUAAUUGAAGAGGUUUGGAAAGAUCCACCACAGAAGGUAAUAGUCCUGUAUGUUAAACGAGAAGACUUUAGAUAUGAUCCAGAGUACCACGGGACACGUGAAACCCUGUGGGAAGCAGGAGGGACCACCCUCCAAGGCUAAAUACUACCUAGUGACCGAUAGCGUAUAGUACCGUGAGGGAAAGGUGAAAAGAACCCCGGGAGGGGAGUGAAAUAGAACCUGAAACCCUGC